rnacentral:rRNA from 1 species
CGGACUGGUGAGUAACGCGUGAGGAACCUGCCUUCCAGAGGGGGACAACAGUUGGAAACGACUGCUAAUACCGCAUAACGUGCAGCCGGGGCAUCCCGGAGGCACCAAAGAUUUUAUCGCUGGAAGAUGGCCUCGCGUCUGAUUAGCUAGUUGGUGGGGUAACGGCCCACCAAGGCGACGAUCAGUAGCCGGACUGAGAGGUUGGCCGGCCACAUUGGGACUGAGACACGGACCAAACUCCUACGGAAGGCAGCAG